GAUGAACGCUGGCGGCGUGCCUAAUACAUGCAAGUCGAGCGAACAGACGAGGAGCUUGCUCCUCUGACGUUAGCGGCGGACGGGUGAGUAACACGUGGAUAACCUACCUAUAAGACUGGGAUAACUUCGGGAAACCGGAGCUAAUACCGGAUAAUAUAUUGAACCGCAUGGUUCAAUAGUGAAAGACGGUUUUGCUGUCACUUAUAGAUGGAUCCGCGCCGCAUUGUCUAGUUGGUAAGGUAACGGCUUACCAAGGCAACGAUGCGUAGCCGACCUCAGAGGGUGAUCGGCCACACUGGAGCUGAGACACGGUCAAGACUCCUACGGGAGGCAGCAGUAGGGAAUCUUCCGCAAUGGGCGAAAGCCUGACGGAGCAACGCCGCGUGAGUGAUGAAGGUCUUCGGAUCGUAAAACUCUGUUAUUAGGGAAGAACAAAUGUGUAAGUAACUGUGCACGUCUUGACGGUACCUAAUCAGAAAGCCACGGCUAACUACGUG
rnacentral:rRNA from 1 species